rnacentral:rRNA from 1 species
GCCACUCGGAUGAACUAAGCCAUGCGAGUCAUUGUAGUAAUACAAGGCAGACGGCUCAGUAACGCGUAGUCAACCUAACCUAUGGACGGGAAUAAUCUCGGGAAACUGAGAAUAAUGCCCGAUAGAACACUAUAUCUGGAAUGGUUUGUGUUCCAAAUGAUUUAUCGCCAUAGGAUGGGACUGCGGCCUAUCAGUUUGUUGGUGAGGUAAUGGCCCACCAAGACUAUUACAGGUACGGGCUCUGAGAGGAGUAGCCCGGAGAUGGGUACUGAGACACGGACCCAGGCCCUAUGGGGCGCAGCAGGCGAGAAAACUUUGCAAUGUGCGAAAGCACGACAAGGUUAAUCCGAGUGGUUCCUGCUAAAGGAACCUUUUGUCGGUCCUAGAAACACCGAUGAAUAAGGGGUGGGCAAGUUCUGGUGUCAGCCGCCGCGGUAAAACCAGCACCUCAAGUGGUCAGGAUGAUUAUUGGGCCUAAAGCAUCCGUAGCUCGUUUUGUAAGUUUUCGGUUAAAUCCAUACGCUCAACGUAUGGGCUGCCGGGAAUACUGCAUGACUAGGAAGUGGGAGAGGUAGACGGUACUCGAUAGGAAGGGGUAAAAUCCUUUGAUCUAUUGAUGACCACCUGUGGCGAAGGCGGUCUACCAGAACACGUUCGACGGUGAGGGAUGAAAGCUGGGGGAGCAAACCGGAUUAGAUACCCGGGUAGUCCCAGCUGUAAACUAUGCAAACUCAGUGAUGCAUUGGCUUGUGGCCAAUGCAGUGCUGCAGGGAAGCCGUUAAGUUUGCCGCCUGGGAAGUACGUACGCAAGUAUGAAACUUAAAGGAAUUGGCGGGGGAGCACCACAAGGGGUGAAGCCUGCGGUUCAAUUGGAGUCAACGCCGGG